rnacentral:rRNA from 1 species
UACGUAGGGGGCAAGCGUUGUCCGGAAUUAUUGGGCGUAAAGAGCGCGUAGGCGGUCCGGUAAGUCCGCUGUGAAAGUCGGGGGCUCAACCCUCGAAUGCCGGUGGAUACUGUCGGGCUAGAGUGCGGAAGAGGCGAGUGGAAUUCCUGGUGUAGCGGUGAAAUGCGUAGAUAUCAGGAGGAACACCUGCGGUGUAGACGGCUUACUGGACCAUAACUGACGCUGAGGCACGAAAGCGUGGGUAGCAAACAGG